AUGUCUCGCCUACAAUGCGGCGCUAUCAGGCCGGCCCAACAUUGUAGCUGCGCGAGGCUUUUUCUAUGGGUUUUUUUUAUCAUUUUAUUUACUAUUUUACACUGGUUUUCCUAUUUUAUCUUCGGGGAAAUAUACAUAUACAUAUAUAUAUAUUAUCCUUUUCUGCCGCCGCCGCCUUCUUCCGCGACGCAGGUGAGCGCCCCAAGCUGCCCUCUUCUCCGGUGCGUCCUCUUCUGCAGCAGUCCUACGCUCGGAUCAAUCAGAGGCGGCCGAACGCACACUCGCCGUGCGCACCUUGCUCGCCGCCGCCGCCGCCGCCGAGGGUAA
rnacentral:rRNA from 1 species